rnacentral:rRNA from 1 species
UACGAAGGGUGCUAGCGUUGUUCGGAAUCACUGGGCGUAAAGCGCACGUAGGCGGACUGCACAGUCAGGCGUGAAAUUCCUGGGCUUAACCUGGGGACUGCGUCUGAGACGUGUGAUCUAGAGUGAGGAAGAGGGUCGUGGAAUUUCCAGUGUAGAGGUGAAAUUCGUAGAUAUUGGAAAGAACACCGGUGGCGAAGGCGGCGACCUGGUCCGUGACUGACGCUGAGGCGCGAAAGCGUGGGGAGCAAACAGG